CCUACGGGAGGCAGCAGUGAGGAAUAUUGGUCAAUGGACGAAAGUCUGAUCCAGCCAAGUCGCGUGUAUGAUGAAUGCCCUCUGGGUUGUAAACUUCUUUUAUAAAGGGAUAAAACGAGUCGCGUGUGCCUUUUUGCAUUUACUUUAUGAAUACGUGUCGGCUAGCUCCGUGCCAGCAGACGCGGUAAUACGGAGGGUCCGAGCGUUAUUCGGAUUUAUUGGGUUUAAAGGGAACGUAGAUGGGUUGUUAAGUCAGUUGUGAAAUUUUGCGGCUCAACCGUAAAAUUGCAAUUGAUACUGGCAGGCUUGAGUACAGUAGAGGUAGGCGGAAUUCGUGGUGUAGCGGUGAAAUGCGUAGAGAUCACGAAGAACCCCGAUUGCGAAGGCAGCUUACUAAACGGUGACUGACACUGAUGUGCGAAAGUGUGGGUAUCAAACAGGAUUAGAUACCCGAGUAGUC
rnacentral:rRNA from 1 species